ACGGAGAAGGCUAUGUUGGCCGGGCGACGGUUGUCCCGGUUUAAGCGUGUAGGCUGGUUUUCCAGGCAAAUCCGGAAAAUCAAGGCUGAGGCGUGAUGACGAGGCACUACGGUGCUGAAGCAACAAAUGCCCUGCUUCCAGGAAAAGCCUCUAAGCAUCAGGUAACAUCAAAUCGUACCCCAAACCGACACAGGUGGUCAGGUAGAGAAUACCAAGGCGCUUGAGAGAACUCGGGUGAAGGAACUAGGCAAAAUGGUGCCGUAACUUCGGGAGAAGGCACGCUGAUAUGUAGGUGAAGUCCCUCGCGGAUGGAGCUGAAAUCAGUCGAAGAUACCAGCUGGCUGCAACUGUUUAUUAAAAACACAGCACUGUGCAAACACGAAAGUGGACGUAUACGGUGUGACGCCUGCCCGGUGCCGGAAGGUUAAUUGAUGGGGUUAGCGCAAGCGAAGCUCUUGAUCGAAGCCCCGGUAAACGGCGGCCGUAACUAUAACGGUCCUAAGGUAGCGAAAUUCCUUGUCGGGUAAGUUCCGACCUGCACGAAUGGCGUAAUGAUGGCCAGGCUGUCUCCACCCGAGACUCAGUGAAAUUGAACUCGCUGUGAAGAUGCAGUGUACCCGCGGCAAGACGGAAAGACCCCGUGAACCUUUACUAUAGCUUGACACUGAACAUUGAGCCUUGAUGUGUAGGAUAGGUGGGAGGCUUAGAAGUGUGGACGCCAGUCUGCAUGGAGCCGACCUUGAAAUACCACCCUUUAAUGUUUGAUGUUCUAACGUUGACCCGUGAUCCGGGUUGCGGACAGUGUCUGGUGGGUAGUUUGACUGGGGCGGUCUCCUCCUAAAGAGUAACGGAGGAGCACGAAGGUUGGCUAAUCCUGGUCGGACAUCAGGAGGUUAGUGCAAUGGCAUAAGCCAGCUUGACUGCGAGCGUGACGGCGCGAGCAGGUGCGAAAGCAGGUCAUAGUGAUCCGGUGGUUCUGAAUGGAAGGGCCAUCGCUCAACGGAUAAAAGGUACUCCGGGGAUAACAGGCUGAUACCGCCCAAGAGUUCAUAUCGACGGCGGUGUUUGGCACCUCGAUGUCGGCUCAUCACAUCCUGGGGCUGAAGUAGGUCCCAAGGGUAUGGCUGUUCGCCAUUUAAAGUGGUACGCGAGCUGGGUUUAGAACGUCGUGAGACAGUUCGGUCCCUAUCUGCCGUGGGCGCUGGAGAA
rnacentral:rRNA from 1 species